rnacentral:rRNA from 1 species
CGGCGAGUGAAGCGGCAAUAGCUCAAAUUUGAAAGCUGGCCCUUUCAGGGUCCGCAUUGUAAUUUGUAGAGGAUGAUUCGGCGAGGGCUCCCGCCUAAGUCCCCUGGAACGGGGCGUCAUAGAGGGUGAGAAUCCCGUAUGCGGUGGGUUGCCUUAGCCAUGUGAAUCUCCUUCGACGAGUCGAGUUGUUUGGGAAUGCAGCUCUAAAUGGGAGGUAAAUUUCUUCUAAAGCUAAAUACCGGCCAGAGACCGAUAGCGCACAAGUAGAGUGAUCGAAAGAUGAAAAGCACUUUGGAAAGAGAGUUAAAAAGUACGUGAAAUUGUUGAAAGGGAAGGGCUUGCAACUAGACUUGUCCGCAGUUGCUCAACUGGUCUCCUGACCGGUGUACUCUUCUGCGGCCAGGCCAGCAUCAGUUCAGGCGGUCGGAUAAAGACCUUGGGAAUGUAGCUCCCCUCGGGGAGUGUUAUAGCCCAGGGUGGAAUGCGGCCAGUUUGGACUGAGGAUCUCGCUUCGGCAAGGAUGCUGGCAUAAUGGUUGUAAGCCGCCCGUCUUGAAACACGGACCAAGGAGUCUAACAUCUAUGCGAGUGUUUGGGUGUCAAACCCAUACGCGUAAUGAAAGUGAACGGAGGUGGGAACCCGCAAGGGUGCACCAUCGGCCGAUCCUGAUGUCUUCGGAUGGAUUUGAGCAAGAGCAUAGCUGUUGGGACCCGAAAGAUGGUGAACUAUGCCUGAAUAGGGUGAAGCCAGAGGAAACUCUGGUGGAGGCUCGCAGCGGUUCUGACGUGCAAAUCGAUCGUCAAAUUUGGGUAUAGGGGCGAAAGACUAAUCGAACCAU